rnacentral:rRNA from 1 species
GUCGAGAAUCUUCCGCAAUGCGCGAAAGCGUGACGGAGCGACACCGCGUGAUGGAUGAAGUCCUUCGGGGCGUAAACAUCUUUUAUAAAGGAGGAAAUUUUUGACGUUACUUUAUGAAUAAGGGGCUCCCAAUCUCGUGCCAGCAGGAGCGGUAAUACGAGAGCCUCAAGCGUUAUCCGGAAUCAUUGGGCGUAAAGGGUGCGUAGGUGGUUUGAUUAGUCUCCCGUUAAAACUUCGAGCUUAACUCGAAAAGAGCGGGGGAAACGGUCAAACUAGAGUAUGUGAGAGGUGUGUGGAACUCAUGGUGUAGGGGUGAAAUCCGUUGAUAUCAUGGGGAACACCAAAAGCGAAGGCAGCACACUGGCACAUCACUGACACUGAGGCACGAAACCUAAGGUAGCGAAUGGGAUUAGAUACCCUGGUAGUCC